UACGGAAGGCAGCAGUGGGGAAUAUUGCACAAUGGGCGAAAGCCUGAUGCAGCUAUGCCGCGUGUAUGAAGAAGGCCUUAGGGUUGUAAAGUACUUUCAUCGGGGAGGAAAAAACAAAACUAAUAAUUUUAUUUCUUGACGUUACCCGAAAAAGAAGCACCGGCUAACUCCGUGCCAGCAGCCGCGGUAAUACGGAGGGUGCUAGCGUUAAUCAGAAUUACUGGGCGUAAAGAGCACGUAGGUGGUUUUUUUAAGUCAGAUGUGAAAUCCCUGGGCUUAACCUGGAACUGCAUUUUGAAACUGAAAUACUAGAGUAUCGUAGAGGGAGGUAGAAUUCUAGGUGUAGCGGUGAAAUGCGUAGAUAUCUGGAGGAAUACCUGUGGCGAAAGCGGCCUCCUAAACGAGACUGACGCUCAUGUGCGAAAGCGUGGGGAGCAAACAGGGAUUAGAUACC
rnacentral:rRNA from 1 species